CUACGGGUUGCUCCAGUGGGGAAUUUUGCGCAAUGGGGGAAACCCUGACGCAGCAACGCCGCGUGAAGGAUGAAGGCCUUUGGGUCGUAAACUUCUGUCAGUGGGAAAGAAAUACUCGUAAGAGGGAUGACGGUACCCACAAAGGAAGCACCGGCUAACUCCGUGCCAGCAGCCGCGGUAAUACGGAGGGUGCAAGCGUUGUUCGGAAUUAUUGGGCGUAAAGAGCAUGUAGGCGGACUGUUAAGUCUGGUGUGAAAGCCCGGGGCUCAACCCCGGAAGUGCAUUGGAUACUGGCAGUCUUGAGUAUGGGAGAGGAAAGUGGAAUUCCGAGUGUAGGAGUGAAAUCCGUAGAUAUUCGGAGGAACACCAGUGGCGAAGGCGGCUUUCUGGACCAAUACUGACGCUGAGAUGCGAAAGCGUGGGGAGCAAACAGGAUUAGAUACCCCAGUAGUC
rnacentral:rRNA from 1 species